rnacentral:rRNA from 1 species
GCAAGUCGAGCGAGAAAGGCCUUCGGGCUGAGUAAAGCGGCGGACGGGUGAGUAACGCGUAGGAAUCUGCCUGGUAGUGGGGGACAACAUGUGGAAACGCAUGCUAAUACCGCAUACGCCCUACGGGGGAAAGCGGGGGACCUUCGGGCCUCGCGCUAUUGGAUGGGCCUGCGUCGGAUUAGCUUGUUGGUGAGGUAAAGGCUCACCAAGGCGACGAUCCGUAGCUGGUCUGAGAGGAUGAUC